CACUUCUUCUAUACCUGAACUAAGGGAAAUGGAGCUUUGGAAACCCAGGAAUGUAAUUCCAUGCAAAUAAAGCUUUCUA